rnacentral:sRNA from 1 species
UCAGAGAUCUACAGGCCUCUUCUUCCCAAGUGCUGGGAUGAAAGGUGCUGUCCACCAUGCCUACCUGAUUAGCCCGAUUUAUAACCUACUUUGAGACUCGUGUGCCCUUUGCACUUGUAUCUUGCCCCCAGGCCUCUCCAACAUUAGAACUAGAACUGGAUGUAAAGACUCAAAGAGAUAAACAUAUGUUAACACACUUGACAGAGCUGGGCACACAGGCUGAACACACAACACAUCUGGGUUCAAAGAAGCCUGGGGCCCUGGAGGCGAAGCCACAUCCAGGAGAGGUUUGACCUUUGGGAGGGCCUUCCACUAUGCAAGCAAGGCCAGGCAUCCACACUGCCUGUGUUAUUUUUACAGCAGGGUCAUGUUUCUCUGAGCACUAGGCUGAGGUGAGAGGAGGUGAGCCAAAGGGAAAGAAAGUGACCCCUGCCCGGAAAACAAGGAGGGAGGGGGACUAGAACUCCAGAGAUAUCUUUAGACCCUAGUGGCAGAGGGAGAUGACCAAUUCCCCUGAGUGCCCUACCCCCACAUCUUCUCAUCUCUUGCUGUUCCCUGAAUUCUUUAGCUGAGAGAGGACCCUUACUGUGCCCUCACACCUCCCAAACACACACAGAUAAAUAUGUGGGCCAGGGAUGAAGUAUGUAUGGGCCAAGGUCACAGACAGAGUCACGGGUAAAUCUAGGAUUGGUGCCUCUCUGAUGUUUGGUUUCUACGCCUCCCACUCCUAGCUGUUCUCUGAACACUAGCAGGGCCCCCAGCUGGGCAGAACAAGGACUUGGGAAACACUAGGCAGGAGUGGGCUGAGAAGCUCUUACAUUCCUAGAGCACAGCCCUCUCAGAAACCUCAGAAAGCCACUGCAGUAACAGAGCUAGGAGGGUCUUCCUGAGGAGGCCAAGGGGCAGGGUAGGGAAGGUCUCACUCCUCCUCCCCACUCUUGGGAAACGCUAAAAAAGUCCCACCAGAUAGACUCUUCUUUCCUCUCAGAGACCUCUAGUCAGGGGAGAGCAAACGAAAUGAACAUUUCCUUCCUUCCAGGGACACGGGUAUCUGGAGGCACAGCCAGUAGUGUCCCUGGCAAUACCGACUCCUGGGAAUGGGUGACACACACAGGUCUGGGUGGUUUGGCUCAGAACUCCCUUGAAGUUUGCAGGGCCAUUGAGACAGGGUGCACCAGAGCCGAUGGGCUGUCAGACAAUCAUCCAUUCCUCAGGCUGGCAGAGGAAGCCCAGGCUUAAGCAGAAGGAGCUGCUUCCUUGGGAAUUCAGGUAGGUUAGCUCCUAAACUCUAUCUGGCCAGACUCAGCAGAAAGCCCACUUCCCUAAGCCUCCUAAGGGGCUAGAACAGAGUUAGGGAGGUGAGGGGGGGCUCCCUAUUUUUGGAACAGGGAAACAUCCAGAGGCGUCACCUAAAGGAGUCAGGAUCACAGUAAUGAAGGCCUCCCAGGGGUUCUGACACGAGAAGACACUCACUAGCUCCACAGGAUCACCUUCUACAGGUGACUCUGCCAGCAGAUGGAAGACCUCCCCUAUCAGUUCCCAGCCGGUGGGCCAGGACCCUGUGUGAGAGAAAAGGGGGCCAAGAGUAGGAUGAGGUCCCAGAGCUUUUCUGAGAGGCAUUCUCCCUAAGGUGCAGGAACUGGCAGGCUAUCUCCUCUCUGUCUUGCUCCCCCAUUGUCCUUGUCUUCUGCCUUCCUCUCCCAGGCCUCCUCCCCCAGAAGCCCUCACACUCUUCCCAGGACACUGCAGGUACUGCAGGCACUUAAGCAUAGUGCCACUGACUGUGGGUUCUGCAGGGAGCUGGUCCUACGCUCUCCUCACCUUAUGGCUUCCUUCAGACCGUGGAUCCCUACCAGGAGCUGCAUCUGCAUCUUGCCUAUCCCGGGGGGGCCCCCCUCCGCUUGUAAGCAGGGUCCCCAUCUCAGACAGAGCAACUACAAGCACAGGAUUCUCUGCAUUUUAAAGUUAAAAGCUCACAAGUUCUUCUGCCACUCGGGUGGGGGCUUAAGCUGAUGCUGUCCGGGCCAAUGUUUGGGAUCCUCUUUCUGUAGUAUCUGAAUGUGCUCACAUCUUCUCCUUGGCUCAGUUCGGCUGCCUCACUCAGCCACCGUCUUAGCAUCCACAGAAGUUUUGGCAGGUGCUGAGAGAGUUAACAAGACAGCAUGCACCAAACCAACCCGCAGGCAGGCACGUGGCUGAACAGUCCAGCAAAGGAUGCUGCGUGGCCAUCUCAGUGCAACCGGGGCUCCCAGGACACUAGUUCUAUCCAAACAUCCUUUCAAGCAAGGGGGGAUGGGGAGCCCCAGACAGAUGAGCUCAUUGGAAGGAGGAGGGUAGAGGGAGGGAGCCAAACCAUCCCGAGAGCGGAGACAUGCUGACCGGACAGUCCCAAGCUGGAGAGAGGUGUGUGGCCACUCCUAGAAGCAGCUCAGAGAUAGGUUCGGCCCCAGCUGUCCCCGGUUAACUAUGAGAUGUGUGCGCUGUCUCCUUCACCUUCCCAUGCCUCAGCCUCCGCCUCCAGAGAACCUCCUUCAAGGCACUGUCACCGGGUAGUCACAGUGACUAAAAUCCAGUCCAAGGGAGUGCUUGAAAGCACAGGGUGGAUCAGGGAGCUCCCCAUCCUCGACAGCCAGCACACCACUUCUAGGAGAAGCCCA